AACAUCUAAGUACCCCGAGGAAAAGAAAUCAACCGAGAUUCCGAAAGUAGCGGCGAGCGAAAUUGGACUAGCCCUUAAGCUUUACACGCGUUAGACGAACGGUCUGGAAAGUCCGACGAUACAGGGUGAUAGUCCCGUAGUUGACGACGUGUGUUCAGUGAAAUCGAGUAGGGCGGGACACGUGAUAUCCUGUCUGAAUAUGGGGGGACCAUCCUCCAAGGCUAAAUACUACUGACUGACCGAUAGUGAACCAGUACCGUGAGGGAAAGGCGAAAAGAACCCCUGUGAGGGGAGUGAAAUAGAACCUGAAACCGUGUACGUACAAGCAGUAGGAGCAGGCUUUGUCCUGUGACUGCGUACCUUUUGUAUAAUGGGUCAGCGACUUAUAUUCAGUGGCAAGGUUAACCAUCUAGGGGAGCCGUAGGGAAACCGAGUCUUAACUGGGCGUUCAGUCUCUGGAUAUAGA
rnacentral:rRNA from 1 species